UUAAGCGACUAAGCGUACACGGUGGAUGCCCUGGCAGUCAGAGGCGAUGAAGGACGUGCUAAUCUGCGAUAAGCGUCGGUAAGGUGAUAUGAACCGUUAUAACCGGCGAUUUCCGAAUGGGGAAACCCAGUGUGUUUCGACACACUAUCAUUAACUGAAUCCAUAGGUUAAUGAGGCGAACCGGGGGAACUGAAACAUCUAAGUACCCCGAGGAAAAGAAAUCAACCGAGAUUCCCCCAGUAGCGGCGAGCGAACGGGGAGCAGCCCAGAGCCUGAAUCAGUGUGUGUGUUAGUGGAAGCGUCUGGAAAGGCGCGCGAUACAGGGUGACAGCCCCGUACACAAAAAUGCACAUACUGUGAGCUCGAUGAGUAGGGCGGGACACGUGGUAUCCUGUCUGAAUAUGGGGGGACCAUCCUCCAAGGCUAAAUACUCCUGACUGACCGAUAGUGAACCAGUACCGUGAGGGAAAGGCGAAAAGAACCCCGGCGAGGGGAGUGAAAAAGAACCUGAAACCGUGUACGUACAAGCAGUGGGAGCACGCUUAGGCGUGUGACUGCGUACCUUUUGUAUAAUGGGUCAGCGACUUAUAUUCUGUAGCAAGGUUAACCGAAUAGGGGAGCCGAAGGGAAACCGAGUCUUAACUGGGCGUUAAGUUGCAGGGUAUAGACCCGAAACCCGGUGAUCUAGCCAUGGGCAGGUUGAAGGUUGGGUAACACUAACUGGAGGACCGAACCGACUAAUGUUGAAAAAUUAGCGGAUGACUUGUGGCUGGGGGUGAAAGGCCAAUCAAACCGGGAGAUAGCUGGUUCUCCCCGAAAGCUAUUUAGGUAGCGCCUCGUGAAUUCAUCUCCGGGGGUAGAGCACUGUUUCGGCAAGGGGGUCAUCCCGACUUACCAACCCGAUGCAAACUGCGAAUACCGGAGAAUGUUAUCACGGGAGACACACGGCGGGUGCUAACGUCCGUCGUGAAGAGGGAAACAACCCAGACCGCCAGCUAAGGUCCCAAAGUCAUGGUUAAGUGGGAAACGAUGUGGGAAGGCCCAGACAGCCAGGAUGUUGGCUUAGAAGCAGCCAUCAUUUAAAGAAAGCGUAAUAGCUCACUGGUCGAGUCGGCCUGCGCGGAAGAUGUAACGGGGCUAAACCAUGCACCGAAGCUGCGGCAGCGACACUAUGUGUUGUUGGGUAGGGGAGCGUUCUGUAAGCCUGCGAAGGUGUGCUGUGAGGCAUGCUGGAGGUAUCAGAAGUGCGAAUGCUGACAUAAGUAACGAUAAAGCGGGUGAAAAGCCCGCUCGCCGGAAGACCAAGGGUUCCUGUCCAACGUUAAUCGGGGCAGGGUGAGUCGACCCCUAAGGCGAGGCCGAAAGGCGUAGUCGAUGGGAAACAGGUUAAUAUUCCUGUACUUGGUGUUACUGCGAAGGGGGGACGGAGAAGGCUAUGUUGGCCGGGCGACGGUUGUCCCGGUUUAAGCGUGUAGGCUGGUUUUCCAGGCAAAUCCGGAAAAUCAAGGCUGAGGCGUGAUGACGAGGCACUACGGUGCUGAAGCAACAAAUGCCCUGCUUCCAGGAAAAGCCUCUAAGCAUCAGGUAACAUCAAAUCGUACCCCAAACCGACACAGGUGGUCAGGUAGAGAAUACCAAGGCGCUUGAGAGAACUCGGGUGAAGGAACUAGGCAAAAUGGUGCCGUAACUUCGGGAGAAGGCACGCUGAUAUGUAGGUGAAGUCCCUCGCGGAUGGAGCUGAAAUCAGUCGAAGAUACCAGCUGGCUGCAACUGUUUAUUAAAAACACAGCACUGUGCAAACACGAAAGUGGACGUAUACGGUGUGACGCCUGCCCGGUGCCGGAAGGUUAAUUGAUGGGGUCAGCGCAAGCGAAGCUCUUGAUCGAAGCCCCGGUAAACGGCGGCCGUAACUAUAACGGUCCUAAGGUAGCGAAAUUCCUUGUCGGGUAAGUUCCGACCUGCACGAAUGGCGUAAUGAUGGCCAGGCUGUCUCCACCCGAGACUCAGUGAAAUUGAACUCGCUGUGAAGAUGCAGUGUACCCGCGGCAAGACGGAAAGACCCCGUGAACCUUUACUAUAGCUUGACACUGAACAUUGAGCCUUGAUGUGUAGGAUAGGUGGGAGGCUUUGAAGUGUGGACGCCAGUCUGCAUGGAGCCGACCUUGAAAUACCACCCUUUAAUGUUUGAUGUUCUAACGUUGACCCGUGAUCCGGGUUGCGGACAGUGUCUGGUGGGUAGUUUGACUGGGGCGGUCUCCUCCUAAAGAGUAACGGAGGAGCACGAAGGUUGGCUAAUCCUGGUCGGACAUCAGGAGGUUAGUGCAAUGGCAUAAGCCAGCUUGACUGCGAGCGUGACGGCGCGAGCAGGUGCGAAAGCAGGUCAUAGUGAUCCGGUGGUUCUGAAUGGAAGGGCCAUCGCUCAACGGAUAAAAGGUACUCCGGGGAUAACAGGCUGAUACCGCCCAAGAGUUCAUAUCGACGGCGGUGUUUGGCACCUCGAUGUCGGCUCAUCACAUCCUGGGGCUGAAGUAGGUCCCAAGGGUAUGGCUGUUCGCCAUUUAAAGUGGUACGCGAGCUGGGUUUAGAACGUCGUGAGACAGUUCGGUCCCUAUCUGCCGUGGGCGCUGGAGAACUGAGGGGGGCUGCUCCUAGUACGAGAGGACCGGAGUGGACGCAUCACUGGUGUUCGGGUUGUCAUGCCAAUGGCACUGCCCGGUAGCUAAAUGCGGAAGAGAUAAGUGCUGAAAGCAUCUAAGCACGAAACUUGCCCCGAGAUGAGUUCUCCCUGACUCCUUGAGAGUCCUGAAGGAACGUUGAAGACGACGACGUUGAUAGGCCGGGUGUGUAAGCGCAGCGAUGCGUUGAGCUAACCGGUACUAAUGAACCGUGAGGCUUAACCUU
rnacentral:rRNA from 1 species